GAGGUUGUGGCUCAGUGGUAGAGCUCUCGCCUUGCAAGUGGAAGGCACUGGGUUCGAGCCUCAGCACCACA
rnacentral:tRNA from 1 species